rnacentral:rRNA from 1 species
AAUCAACGCUGGCGGCGUGCCUCAGACAUGCAAGUCGAACGCGAAAGGCCCCUUCGGGGGCCCGGUAGAGUGGCGCACGGGUGAGUAACACGUAGGUAAUUUGCCUUCGGGUGGGGGAAGUAACAGCCGGAAACGGGACUGCUAAUACCGCAUAAUGCAGCGGCUCGACAUCGAGACAGUUGUUAAAGCGGGGGAGUCGCAAGACCUCGCGCCUGAAGAGAAGCCUGCGGCAGAUAGUCUUGUUGGUGAGGUAAUAGCUCACCAAGGCGACGAUCUGUAACCGGCCUGAGAGGGCGGUCGGUCACACUGACACUGACAUACGGGUCAGACUCC